AGAGUUUGAUCAUGGCUCAGGACGAACGCUGGCGGCGCGCUUAACACAUGCAAGUCGAACGGUGGCUUCGGCCGCCGUGGCAGACGGCUGAGUAACGCGUGGAAACCUGCCCUGGUGUGGGGGAUAAGCCCGCGAAAGCGGGUCUAAUACCGCAUACGGUAGCUUCGGCUAAGAAAGCCUUUGGGUGCACCAGGAGGGGUCCGCGUCCGAUUAGCCUGUUGGUGGGGUAACGGCCUACCAAAGCGACGAUCGGUAGCUGGUCUGAGAGGACGACCAGCCACACUGGAACUGAGACACGGUCCAGACACCUACGGGUGGCAGCAGUCGAGAAUUUUUCGCAAUGGGGGAAACCCUGACGGAGCGAUACAGCGUGGUGGAUGAAGUGCUUCGGUACGUAAACACCUUUUACGUGGGACGAAAUUAUUGACGGUACCACAUGAAUAAGGGGCUCCUAACUCUGUGCCAGCAGGAGCGGUAAUACAGAGGCCCCAAGCAUUAUCCGGAAUUACUGGGCGUAAAGGGUGUCAAGGCGGUCAUGUUAGUCGUUCGUAAAAUCCGUGGGCUCAACCUACGGCUCGCGAGCGAAACGGCAUGACUUGAGGUUGGAAGAGGUGCGUGGAACUCACGGUGUAGGGGUGAAAUCCGUUGAUAUCGUGGGGAACACCAAAGGCGAAGGCAGCGCACUGGUCCAAAUCUGACGCUCACACACGAAAGCCAGGGUAGCGAACGGGAUUAGAUACCCCGGUAGUCC
rnacentral:rRNA from 1 species